AUGGAUCAUCUCUGUCAGGGAACUUUUCCCCCUUCCAGCCCCACCCCCUUCCACCGCCCCCCAUCCUCCAAGCUCACCGGGAGACACCAAAAAGCAAUGGCGAUGGCGGGGAGUGCGGCGACAUCUAUGGAAAGACGCUCCAACGCAAAUAUGCUAAAUAUUCUUCGAUUUAUUGGUCACGCGUGUAGGCUCCCGCUGCGAGAGGUGACUGCUGAUGUUGAGCAGUCAGAUCCAUUGGUGCUAAUGGAUGUACGGCCGUCGGCGUCGACUCCAGCCAACUCGUCGUGCGAUGCUAUGGUUGGCCACCUCGAAGAAACCAUACGGAGAUGCGCUAAUAAACCAUCGGAGAAUGUAGUGAAGCCAGAUAUUGGGAUGAGCUUUGAUUCCCUAGGGGAAGCGUAUGAUUUCUAUAACAUGUAUUCUUGGGAGCUCGGAUUUGGUAUAAGAUAUGGCAAGAGCCGGUUGAAUGUCGUGUGGACAAAAUACCAAGCAAGAGCCAUGGAGAUAGCAAUCAAGAGCGAGCUUCAUGGGACUGUGCACAAAUGUUACAUGACAAAUUUGUACGAGAUACGAUGCAAGUGGGCGAAACCAUACUUCAAAGGUGUUUUCUGUGCCAAAAUGACUAGCACCCAGCGUAGCAAGAGUGCAAACAAUAUGCUGAAAAUAUACAUGCCACCAGCAAAUCCAAUGCAUGUGUUUUGUGCGUCAGGACAUGAGGCUGCAAUUCGACCAGGAAUCAGAUGA
rnacentral:rRNA from 1 species